UACGAAGGGGGCUAGCGUUGCUCGGAAUCACUGGGCGUAAAGCGCACGUAGGCGGAUCGCUAAGUCAGGGGUGAAAUCCUGGAGCUCAACUCCAGAACUGCCUUUGAUACUGGCAAUCUCGAGUCCGGGAGAGGUGAGUGGAACUGCGAGUGUAGAGGUGAAAUUCGUAGAUAUUCGCAAGAACACCAGUGGCGAAGGCGGCUCACGGGCCCGGUACUGACGCUGAGGUGCGAAAGCGUGGGGAGCAAACAGG
rnacentral:rRNA from 1 species